rnacentral:lncRNA from 1 species
GAAAAAAAUGUGACUACCUCAGGCUGAAAGUGAAGUGAAAUGUACUUGUAAAACUAGAGCUUGGAGGCGUGGAUGCUCCAUUUCUCUCUUGGUCGUUGGUGAUUCUAUAUGACUGUAUCUUAUAAAUAUAUACAUUUGUGUCCAUAAGUGUCCAUGUAUUUUAAUAUUGAUUAGUUUCUCCACACCUACUCUUCUUUGCCUGUUAAACCUCUCCCAAGGAGGAAUAUUCCUGUCAUGCAUUAUUGUAAGUAAAUAACUGUGAAUGUUAAGAUCAUUUCUUACCCAUAUGUCACCUCUAACCUUUGUGUAAAAUGUCUUUUACAUUAGCAUAAAUAUUAAGAAGAUGCCAUUUCUGCUAUAUAUAGGGCUGCCUUCAGCUAAUCAGUUUUUCAUGCAUUUAAAUAGAAAUAUUAGAAUGAUGGUAAUUACUUUAGUUUUCCAUGAAUGAUCCAUCAAGACAGUGCCUUUUACUAGAUGGUAUUGCUCAGGGUUAGUAGGACCAAAUUCGAUUGUUAGCUGAGUGAUCUUCAGUGUCUUGUGACUUUUAAAAAAAAAAAAAAAUUCAUUCUCAACUCUAUUGUCUUUUCUAAGAGUAAAUGCACAAAUCGCUUUAAGAAGAAUAAUCUGUAGUGCAUGGAGACUGAGAGAAAUUGUAAUUCAUUGUAAAAUAAGUCCUGUUUAUUAAAUGCAUGAAAGACAAAAGAUUUUCAGGCAGGUGACAAAACCUCACACACACGCACGCGCACACACAAUGAAUGUGAGAAAAUUCAUACUUUUUGAAAAAGUGCCUUUAUCAAACAAGA